rnacentral:rRNA from 1 species
AGCGAACGUUAGCGGCGGGCCUAACACAUGCAAGUCGAACGGGCUGUAGCAAUACAGUCAGUGGCGCACGGGUGCGUAACGCGUAGAUAAUCUACCUCUCAGUGGGGGAUAACUAGGGGAAACGUCUAGCUAAUACCGCAUAAGACCACGGAGUCUUCGGGCUUUGAGGGAAAGGCGGCCUCUGAAUAUGCUGUCGCUGGGAGAUGAGUCUGCGUCCCAUCAGCUAGUUGGUGAGGUAAUGGCUCACCAAGGCAAAGACGGGUAGCUGGUCUGAGAGGAUGAUCAGCCACACUGGCACUGGAACACGGGCCAGACUCCUACGGGAGGCAGCAGUGGGGGAAUAUUGGGCAAUGGGCGGAAGCCUGACCCAGCCACGCCGCGUGAGUGAUGAAGGCCUUCGGUUGUAAAGCUCUGUGGGGAGAGACGAAAGAGCGGAACCGUAAUACGUUCCGUGUUGACGGUAUCUCCUUA